ensembl:lncRNA
AUUUGAUUUGGUUCAAAAGUGUCUCUUAAGGUAGAAUAAUUGCAGACACUGUCAGAUAAGUUUAAAGCUAUUCACAGUUAGGGUCUGUGUCAGAUUAACGAAACUGGUUUCUAAAUUGAUUUGGUUAUCGUUACGUAAAUUCCACAGACUGUGCCUAACUUAGGUGGCUGGUGCAGGCUUUUAGCACAGAAUAGCAGGGAACUUCAUUUGUAACCUUUUCCCACACGCAAAGUUCUGCAGGAGAAGAUUGAAAGCAUGUGAAGUGAGGAAGCUCCAUCAGAGCCUGAACCUCCAGAAUUUGUGAUGGAAUAGCAACACAGAAGGAUGUAGUCAACAUCUUUCACACAAGAUUUGAUAAGAAAGUGUCCACUCUAAGCCAGUCAGUCAUCUGGAUUGCAUCUGUGGUCAGUGGAGGGGAUCAGCCACUUCAGAAGGUAGAUGGCCUCUCCAGACUUGGCCAGAUAUUUUCAGAGGGGUGACUCUCAGAACUUCACACAAACAGAAAAUCCUCAACAGUAUCUUCUGGAGGAAAACAGAAUGCGUACAGGAAAACCUGUUCAUACAUUGUAACGUUUCUCAAACAAAUCUCCACCUGUAUUCCCUGCUUCAGCAGACAAUCAUAAAUAGCAAAACUUUUGAUAAUAUUUAGGCCUUCUUUUACACGUCCCAGUGAUGAAAGUUUAACUGUUUCUCUGGGCAGUUUACAGCUUAAUUCUGCACAGUUGUCUAAUACUUAAUGUAAAUCACCUUUGCUGCAAUUUAACUCAAUUGCUUGUCCUAAUGGACACAGAGAGUGUCUAUUUCAUUAUUCUUUGCCACGAUUUUGCAUAUUUGGAGAUUAUUAUUCCCAUUCAUAGAAUCAUAGAAUCACCAAGGUUGGAAAAGACCCAGAAGAUCACCCAGUCCAACCAUCCACCCAUCACCAAUACUUCUCACUAAACCAUAUCCCGCAACACAACAUCCAAACGUUCCUUGAACACCUCCAGGGUUCAUGUUCCUUCCUAGUUUUCACUAUUCUUGACACCAUUUGUGUCUUGACACUGAAAUAAAGUUGUCGUGAUGCUAGUAGGAUUUAUGUACAGUUAAGCCUCUCUGACAAAGCAUAAGGGGAGUGAAAAUCUGGAGGUUGGAUGAGGGGAGAGUGGAGGCUGUUCUCCAUCUCACCUUUCCCUUAGCCUUGCAGCUGAUCCUGUACUGUUCUUGAUCCUGUCCACCGCACUGUAAUGGAGGUUAUAAGACAAAGUGACGCUAAAGCCCUGGAGCUUCCUCUUUCUUCCACAUUACUUGACUUUAGAAAGUGAACCGGACCAACGCUCCCUGCCACCUGUCCCUGCAUGGCCCUUGGUAAUCUAGGUCACCCAGUGACUCCAUAAGAGCACUGAUAUUUCCUGCUACACUUACAAUUGCAAUACUGUUAUGUUGUUAGUCUGUCACUCAGCACUAAUUUAGAUGGAGUAAUCCCAAUUCAUUCUGUCCUUUCUGAUAAAUCAGAGGGAGGUGGGGAUUAAGUAUUUGAUUGUUUGUUACCCUUUCAUGGACUCCUACCAGUUAACAGCUUUCAAAGGCAUGAUGGCCACACUCAACAGUGAAAAUCUGGGGACUUGCUAGGCAGUGUUUACAAGCAAACUGUAGUUUUUGUCUCAUAUCUUUCUUUUUUCACUUUCUGUUUUCACUGAGUUUCUACGCUUUCCAAUUUAAUUACAGUGACACUUCCACAAUUUCUCCAAAGCC